UAACUCCCUCACUGCCCCUCACACACCCCUGCUUCUGGGACAAACUUUGAGAGGAACUUGCACUCCUCCAAAGGCAUCUAUCACCAGUUAAAUCCUUCUAGAACAUUGCCACUCUUGCUGAAUGCAAUUUGUUCUUUCCAUGCCAAGGUUUUCUUUAGGAAAUCCCCCAGAUGAAUUAAAAAUAUUGUUCUGCAUUUGCUGGGACCUCUGCCCAGUGCUGCUUGCAGUGUACAGGCUGUGCUUGGUGCUACUUGGGUCAAGACAGCUCAGAAAAAUCUCAUGGCUGGGUAUCGGUGCUUCUAAGCCUGUUGGCUUACACACACACACACACUGUGCCUCUCUCUCCUUCAAACAGGAAACUCAACUCAGCAUGUGAAACAAUUUGCCUAAAUCACUGAGGGUUCUCGAAAUGCUUCUCUAACCUAAGUUUCCAUUUUGACUGCAACAAGAAGUCCUUUGCUGGAGAUGGACUGCAUGCUGCAAGGUGGUGCAAGAAGGGUGGGAACAGAAGUUGAGUAGGACCAGCACUGCCAUACAGACUCUCCUGAGAGGCUCCUGAUGGAAGGAGGCUGGCACAGGCCUGCUGGUCUCUGAAAUGGCCUUCUAGGGUUGAUGCUAGAGCUAUCACAUGUGCUCAACAGACAUGUAUGAGCAUUGAAAGUUUCUGGAGAAGACUGGGAUUUUUUACUCCAAGAAAAUGGCAGACUUGCAACAUCCAUUUCUUGAGUUUGUAUCUGGAAGUCAGAAAAUUACCCUAUCCACUUCAAAGGAAGGUAAUUAUGUGUCUAUACAGUCUCUAGACACAGAAAAAAACAUCUUAAGAGGUGUCAUAUGGGUUCUUCUGGACUGGACCAGGUCUGCCAGGCACAUGACCUGGGGCACAAUAUAAACAUGUUCACAAAUCUGUGUGUAUUUGAUUAUAUCUUUCUUUAUUUCUCGUAUUAUUUGUCAAGCUUCACAUCUGAAAUAGAAGCACUGCAGCAUGAAAUCCUACAGGUGGAAAAGCUGUCUAUUGUCAUUGAUGUAUUGUCAUACAUCAGAAAGUAUGGGAACACUAUUGUUGCAGGGACAGAUUCACCCUAGGAAGCUUGGUGUGUCUUUUUAAUUCUACGUGCUCUCAGAGAAAGAGGCACUGAAGGACAAGGAGCUCUGCUUUAUUGUUUUGUAGGCAGCAAAGGUUUGACUUGGUAGGUUGGUGUUACCAGUGCUCACUCUGUGCUGCAGAGAACUCAGUGCUGAGCAGACAGCCCUUCAUCAGCAAGGCACCACAUUGAAAGGGCUCUUUAGAACUGCUGCAGAGUAAAUACUUGAGCUUCAGUUAAGUAUUUACCACCAAAAGAAAUAUAAAAUUAUGAAACUGAUGGAUUUAAGUCCAGGGGCAGGGACCCAUUGCAAAAGUUGAAACAGGCUGUGAGUAAUCAGAGGACUGUAGGAAUGUGGUCCUUGAAAGGUAAGCGCUGGACCAUGCUAGAUGAGUAACUGGAUUUUGUCAGUGCUACCACAAGGAAAGAGGUACACUGCUUUUCUCCUGUAAGUACUGGAGGCUUCUGACUCUUCAGUUCCUGUCAAAAUUCAGCGCCUGUUAAUAAGCAAGUGCUGUCUAUCAAAGGUGACCAGAGAAGCCAUGGAAUGUGCACAAAGUGCCACAGCAGGGGCCCAUUGCUGGUGUUUAUUAACUUGAGGAGGCACCCCCUCUCUCUCCUGUUCAAUUCCAGUCCUCACUGCCAACAGCUCCUUGCAUAUAACAAGAGCUUUGUGGUUGCCAAGGAGAGCCCACCUCCCCCAGAGAGGAGUAGAAUGUGUGGAGAAGAAGUAGCAAAGACCAUUAUCAUCAUUUAUACAGCAAUGGGAGACUGGCAGCCAAGUGCUGUUGGCAGUAAAGCUUUCAGCUGCUCUGGGAAGAUUGAGAGUGUUCUCCUAAUGAUUCCCAGACAUCUACUUUGCAGCAGUUUCUUGGACUGAUUCACUCUUUGGAAUGCUUUUCCCCUCUGUUUUAUGCCCUCCUGAAGACAGCGGCCAGUGGAGUGAGCAGAGGGUGCGUUGUCAGAAACAGGGGUCUGGAUGGAGCCCCACGGCCCAGGCAUCCCAUUUCUGGUGGAACUAGGGAGGGCACUGACUCCCUGGCCUGUCUCCAACCUUUGUGAUGGGAUCUUGAAUCAUCCGUCCGUCCAUCCAUCCAUCCAUCCAUCCUCACUGUUGCCCUGAUUUUUAAAA